AUUGAACGCUGGCGGCAGGCCUAACACAUGCAAGUCGAGCGGGGUUUUCGGACCUAGCGGCGGACGGGUGAGUAAUGCGUAGGAAGCUACCCGAUAGAGGGGGAUACCAGUUGGAAACGACUGUUAAUACCGCAUAAUGUCUACGGACCAAAGUGUGGGACCUUCGGGCCACAUGCUAUCGGAUGCGCCUACGUGGGAUUAGCUAGUUGGUGAGGUAAUGGCUCACCAAGGCGACGAUCUCUAGCUGGUUUGAGAGGAUGAUCAGUCACACUGGAACUGAGACACGGUCCAGACUCCUACGGGAGGCAGCAGUGGGGAAUUUUGGUACAAUGGACGCAAGUCUGAUCCAGCCAUUCCGCGUGC
rnacentral:rRNA from 1 species